rnacentral:rRNA from 1 species
UACGUAGGGUGCGAGCGUUAAUCGGAAUUCUGGGCGUAAAGCGUGCGCAGGCGGUUGUGCAAGACAGAUGUGAAAUCCCCGGGCUUAACCUGGGAACUGCAUUUGUGACUGCACGGCUAGAGUGUGUCAGAGGGGGGUAGAAUUCCACGUGUAGCAGUGAAAUGCGUAGAUAUGUGGGAGGAAUACCGAUGGCGAAGGCAGCCCCCUGGGAUAACGACUGACGCUCAUGGCACGAAAGCGUGGGAGCAAACAGGAUUAGACUACCCUG